UCUCUGAUAGUAUAUCGGUCAGUACACGCGCCUGUCACAUGUCCCACUGCCGUCAUGCGCGCGAAAGCUGGGUUCGACUCCCAGUCAGAGAG